rnacentral:tRNA from 1 species
GUUAAAAUAGCUUAAAUUUUAAAGCCUAGCGUUGAAGGUGCUAAAAUGGUUUAAUUACCUUUUAACU